UACGUAGGGUGCAAGCGUUGUUCGGAAUUACUGGGCGUAAAGGGAGCGUGGGUGGGGUUGUAAGUUAGGAGUUUAAUACAUGGGCUCAACUCAUGGCAUGCUCUUAAGACUGCAAUUCUUGAGUAUGGGAGAGGGCGAUGGAAUUCCAGGUGUAGCGGUGAAAUGCGUAGGUAUCUGGAAGAACACCAGUAGCGAAGGCGGUCGCCUGGCCCAAUACUGACACUGAGGCUCGAAAGCUAGGGGAG
rnacentral:rRNA from 1 species